CCUCCCAUUCCCCAUCGCCUCACAUCGCCGCCACCCUCCCCUCUUUGCCUGCCUCCUCCAAUAGCUAGCCGCCGGCCCUCCACCUCUCCUGCUCUCACCUCGCAGCACCAUGGAGCUUCCAGAUCCAACGGAUCCCCCACCAAUCCGUCCCUCUUCAACCCAUGGCUAAGAUCAACCAGGCUAUGCUCCUCCCGUGGGAUCCAUGGCGCGGGUUACCACGCAGCAGCUGAUCUGUGACGAGCAAGGCAGGGAAGAAGUGUUCCUUCUCAUGGUCUACCGCGCAGCUCGCCUUCCACGACGUCCUUGGAGAUGUAUGCUACUUCUUCAGCACCUACAAAAAUUCACGGGGCCGUGAAGAUCAGAAGCUGCAGCCGUACCACCACGGCGGUGGUGGCUAUGGAACCUUGGAGGAGUUGCUUAAGUUAUCAUGUGGGCACAACUAGGAAUAAACAAGAAGCUGAAAUGCGUGUACACAGAAUUGCAAUCUGAAGGAGCGAUGGAAGUGAAGAUUGAGCGCUUUUCUUUAACAUUAAUAAUAGAUGCUUUGGCAGUUGGUCCGUGUCACUGGAGAUUGAAGUUUUUUAGCACGAAUUACUUGGGCCUGAAUAGCUGCCUGGAAGUGGUGGUGUAGUGUUGGAGAUUAAAAUCAGCUAGUAGUGCAUUUUAGUCAUGUUUACUUGAUUUUUUUUAAAUGCUUAUGGUGCGUUCUAGUUAUGCUUGUGAUAUUUCGAUAUUAAGCUUUGUUUUUUGAAAUCAGACUAGUUUGUUGGAAAUCUGUAAUUGUGUUGUGAACAAGUGCUAUUAUUUGAAUGAAUAUAAUUUUGU